AAAAUGAGAGUUUGAUCCUGGCUCAGGAUAAACGCUGGCGGCAUGCCUAAUACAUGCAAGUCGAACGGAGGUGCUUGCACCUCAGUGGCGAACGGGUGAGUAACACGUAUCUAACCUACCUCAUAGCGGGGGAUAACUUUUGGAAACGAAAGAUAAUACCGCAUGUAGAUCUUAUUAUCGCAUGAGAAAAGAUCAAAAGAACCGUUUGGUUCACUAUGAGAUGGGGAUGCGGCGUAUUAGCUAGUAGGUGAGAUAAUAGCCCACCUAGGCGAUGAUACGUAGCCGAACUGAGAGGUUGAUCGGCCACAUUGGGACUGAGAUACGGCCCAGACUCCUACGGGAGGCAGCAGUAGGGAAUUUUUCACAAUGGACGAAAGUCUGAUGAAGCAAUGCCGCGUGAGUGAUGACGGCCUUCGGGUUGUAAAUCUCUGUUGUAAGGGAAGAAAAAAUAAAGUAGGAAAUGACUUUAUCUUGACAGUACCUUACCAGAAAGCCACGGCUAACUAUGUGCCAGCAGCCGCGGUAAUACAUAGGUGGCAAGCGUUAUCCGGAUUUAUUGGGCGUAUAGGGUGCGUAGGCGGUUUUGCAAGUUUGAGGUUAAAGUCCGGAGCUCAACUCCGGUUCGCCUUGAAAACUGUAUUACUAGAAUGCAAGAGAGGUAAGCGGAAUUCCAUGUGUAGCGGUGAAAUGCGUAGAUAUAUGGAAGAACACCUGUGGCGAAAGCGGCUUACUGGCUUGUUAUUGACGCUGAGGCACGAAAGCGUGGGGAGCAAAUAGGAUUAGAUACCCUAGUAGUCCACGCCGUAAACGAUGAGUACUAAGUGUUGGGGAAACUCAGCGCUGCAGCUAACGCAUUAAGUACUCCGCCUGAGUAGUAUGCUCGCAAGAGUGAAACUCAAAGGAAUUGACGGGGACCCGCACAAGUGGUGGAGCAUGUGGUUUAAUUCGAAGCAACACGAAGAACCUUACCAGGGCUUGACAUCCAGUGCAAAGCUAUAGAGAUAUAGUAGAGGUUAACAUUGAGACAGGUGGUGCAUGGUUGUCGUCAGUUCGUGCCGUAA
rnacentral:rRNA from 1 species